GACGAACGCUGGCGGCGUGCUUAACACAUGCAAGUCGAACGAUGAAGCCGGAGCUUGCUCUGGUGAAUUAGUGGCGAACGGGUGAGUAACACGUGAGUAACCUGCCCUGACUCUGGGAUAACUGCUAGAAAUGGUAGCUAAUACCGGAUACGACCCUCGGAGGCAUCUCCAGGGGGUGGAAAGAAUUUCGGUCAAGGAUGGACGCGGGGCCUAGCAGCUAGUUGGGGGGGUAAUGGCUCACCAAGGCGACGACGGGUAGCCGGCCUGAGAGGGUGACCGGCCACACUGGGACUGAGACACGGCCCAGACUCCUACGGGAGGCAGCAGUGGGGAAUAUUGCACAAUGGGCGCAAGCCUGAUGCAGCAACGCCGCGUGAGGGAUGACGGCCUUCGGGUUGUAAACCUCUUUUAGUAGGGAAGAAGCGAAAGUGACGGUACCUGCAGAAAAAGCACCGGCUAACUACGUGCCAGCCGCCGCGGUAA
rnacentral:rRNA from 1 species